rnacentral:rRNA from 1 species
AGGACGAACGCUAGCGGCGUGUCUGAAACAUGCAAGUCGAACGGGAUUCAGCAAUGGAUUCAGUGGCGAACGGGUGCGUAACACGUAAAGAACCUGCCCUGCAGCGGGGGAUAGCCCUGGGAAACCGGGGGUAAUACCGCAUAAGACCUUAUUUUCGCAUGAAGAUAAGGAGAAAGGGAUUAGACGAUAGUCUGAUUUCACUGGAGGAGGGCUUUGCGGCCUAUCAGGUAGUUGGGAGGGUAACGGCCUACCAAGCCUAAGACGGGUAGCUGGU